CAGGCCUAACACAUGCAAGUCGAGCGGAGUUGUGGUGCUUGCACCAUAACUUAGCGGCGGACGGGUGAGUAAUGCUUAGGAAUCUGCCUAUUAGUGGGGGACAACGUUUCGAAAGGAACGCUAAUACCGCAUACGUCCUACGGGAGAAAGCAGGGGAUCUUCGGACCUUGCGCUAAUAGAUGAGCCUAAGUCGGAUUAGCUAGUUGGUGGGGUAAAGGCCUACCAAGGCGACGAUCUGUAGCGGGUCUGAGAGGAUGAUCCGCCACACUGGGACUGAGACACGGCCCAGACUCCUACGGGAGGCAGCAGUGGGGAAUAUUGGACAAUGGGGGGAACCCUGAUCCAGCCAGGCCGCGUGUGUGAAGAAGGCCUUUUGGUUGUAAAGCACAUUGAGCGAGGAGGAGGCUUACCUAGUUAAUACCUGGGAUAAGUGGACGUACUCGCAGA
rnacentral:rRNA from 1 species